UACGUAGGGGGCAAGCGUUGUCCGGAUUUAUUGGGCGUAAAGAGCGUGUAGGCGGUUUGGUAGGUCCGUUGUGAAAACUCGAGGCUCAACCUCGAGACGCCGAUGGAAACCAUCAGACUAGAGUCCGGAAGAGGAGAGUGGAAUUCCUGGUGUAGCGGUGAAAUGCGCAGAUAUCAGGAGGAACACCGGUGGCGAAGGCGGUUCUCUGGGCAUGUCCUGACGCUGAGGAGCGAAAGUGUGGGGAGCGAACAGG
rnacentral:rRNA from 1 species